CUCGGCCGCAUUUCCAGCAUUAAAAUUUAAUGCGAGUUGCAGCAUCCUCCUACGCCGUAGGUAGGGCCGGGGGGGCCGGGGGCUGCGGGAGGAGGAGUUUGCGUGGCCGCCUCUUCCUCAGGGAUGCUCUGGGAAAGCUCCAGCACAAAGGAGCGGCGCGGCGGGCAGAAGCGAGCGGAACCGGCGCCCCUCAGCCCCAGCCCGGCCCCCGGGAGCAGGUAACGCUCCGCGGACAUCGCCCCGCUCCCUCUAGAUGGAGAAUCCUCACCAAGAAUAGGGCUCCUGCCAGGUAAAUGGAUUCUUUCCUGAUUUUCAAUGCCCCUGGGAGGAAUUGUAGCCAAAAUGCUGGCUUACUGCUUUGUCUUGUAAUCCCCAUUUUCUCCUAAAGCUGGUGAUCCUGGGUGGGGAUAAGGGGCGAGGCUGGGGCCAACACUCCUGGGGCACAGCACAGCCCCUCCUUCAGAGUCAACCUGCCAGAUGCUCCUCUUGCGGAGCCAUUUUCUCUCCCUCAUUGUCUCGCAGCCUUUUGUGUGUGAGAGGAGGUCCUGCCCGAGGACUCAGGAGGAGCCCAGAAAUAAUCAGGUUUUAUGGCGUUCUGGGUUUGCAGGGAGCCUUUCACACCCUCACCCCUCCUUUCUCCCAGACUGCUCAGCCCCAGAGCUGCAGACAAAGGUGGUAGUGCCUGGUACUGCUGCAGCAGCACAGGAGCCUGGGAUGUGCCAGAGCCUGGGCUCUGCUGGAUGGCAGCAAGGGUCGGGCAGUGCUGACAGGGCCCAGGGCAAAGGUAUUUGGCCACCCUUCUGGGAGCUGGGGGACUGGGGUGCCCAGAUGCCACAUCCCAGAGAUCAUCUCUGGACACAGGCAGUUCAUGGCAAUACUGUGCCUGCUGUGGCCUCAUCUCCCUGCCCCUGCCUGCAGUGGAGCCUGUGCUCCUGUCCCUCCCUCCUCACUCCAUUGGGGGGGGGGGGAGGGUUAGCCCCUGUUUAACCCAAGUGCUCAGUGGCACCGUAUGUGCCACCCACCCAGUGUGGCAGAGGAAGCUCCAGCUCAUGGGUGGCAAUCACUGCUCACUGUGCCCCAGACGAGUGUUUAGCUGAGCCCUGCCUGCACAAGAUUGUUUUCCCUCCAUGUCUCCUGGGAUGUGUUUCAUUCCCGGGUGAGAGAGGACAUCCCACAGCCAUCAUGUCCCGCCUGCCCCACCACAGGCGCCUCCCGCUCAGCUCCCACCUCCUGCUCAGAUCCAGGCAGGGGAUCCAUUUGCCAGAUGCUCGAUGGCAUCUCCGGAGCUCAUUCCCACAGCUAGGUUGCAAAUGCUGCCUGGAUAUGCUGUCCCCAUGGGAGGGACUGUCCUGCCAGCAGUGCCUGCGGCAUGUGGUGACAAUAAACCGCAGGAAGCAGGAGCAGAUCUGCAGCUGAACUGCAGAGUCAUCACGGCCCAGCUCCCCCAGGACCUGCUGCAGUCCUGGCUUUUCCAGGCAGGCAGGGCAGGAGCAGGAGCAGGAACAGGGCAGGAGCAGGAGAAGGGCAGGAGCAGGAGCAGAGCAGGAACAGGAAGAGGAGCAGGGCAGAAGCAGGAACAGGGCAGGCAGUGGGGCUGGCUGCUGGCACCAGCCACGUGUCCCAAUAUCUCUGUGGGGGUGGAGUAGUGCCCACCACACCACAGCGCAGCUGUGACCGCCAGCCACCCCAGUACAACUGCUGCCUGCAGAACCACAGGGUCCCAGUGACCCAGCUUAACCACAAGACAGGAGCAGAGCUGGCAGAGGCAGCAGUGGCAAUCAAUCCCUGUCCCCAGUGCAUGGGUUCCCACAGUAGGUAGGGACAGUUUGGGGCAUUGCCACUGUUUCUGAUAUGGUGGUUCCUGGUGCCCCCCUGUGCCUGGUGGUGGGUCUAGCUCCCCGCUCUGCGAGGGGAAAGGGACAAACUGCCAGGCUCCUGCCAGCUUGGCUUGGCUCUGCCUGAGGAUGGUGCCGUGUUGCUCUCCCUUGCUGCGUUGGUUGUUUCUUUUGCAGCUGCUAAUGACUGACCUGAAGUCUGUUCACACAGUCCCCUCGCGGCCUCCAUGACGCAGAGCUACACAGGAUGGGGGGACAUUGCACAGCACUUGCGUAGCUGGUGACCACAGUGCCACCACCCCAGGGGCACGGCUCCAGUUCCCGCCUGGCCAGACCAGCCGUGCCUGGAGGGGAGCCAGGCUCGGGGAGACGCCGUCACCAUGCUGGAGCCAGGCCGGCCCCAGCAGAGCACCCUGGUGCCCAGUGCCAUGGGCCAGAGCCACGAGCCCGGCCACUGCGGGGGACACAGCUGAGGACAAGGCGCUGGGGACACCUGAGGACACGGGUCUGCAUGUGCACGUGGUUUUCCUGCAAGGUGCUGGGGUUCCCUUCUCUCCUGUUGCUCCACCCCAGCCAUGGGCAGGAUGAGACCUUGUCCCCUUCCCUGAAUGCAGUGUAGGGAGAGAGAGAAGUGGAAGGAGGCAGGGAUGGAGCUGUGCCAGCUCCUCAGUGAGACACAAUGGCCAGAGCACAAAGGGACCCUGGUUGUCUCCACUGAUCCUGCCCAUCCCUCUGGCUGUUGGUGAAAUCCUGGUGCUUUCUGCUCUGGAACUGUCAAACAAUACUAGUUCCAGCAGGACCCUGCCUCCAC